rnacentral:rRNA from 1 species
GACGAACCGUGCGAACGUUGUUCGGAAUCACUGGGCUUAAAGGGCGCGUAGGCGGGUUGCCAAGUCCGGGGUGAAAGCCCCCAGCUCAACUGGGGAAGGGCCUUGGAUACUGGUGAUCUCGAGGGAGGUAGGGGCAUGCGGAACUUCCGGUGGAGCGGUGAAAUGCGUAGAUAUCGGAAGGAACGCCGGUGGCGAAAGCGGCGUGCUGGACCUCUUCUGACGCUGAGGCGCGAAAGCCAGGGGAGCAAACGGG